GUGUUUGAGACUCUGGAGGGUAGCCUAUAAUUACUUCCUGGAGGUAGAGAGUUUAGGCUGGCAAACCCAGAAUGGGGAGAGAGCCUGAAAGGUAGGAAAGGCUCAGGAGAAAAGCAGCAAAGUACAGGAUAGGGCAGACCUUGGCUGCUGAAGUGAGCUGGAACCCAGAGUAGAAGGUGGGCCUGGGUUCCCCUACCAGCCACUGGGGAAGUGGCACAGAUCAGAAGUGCCAGGAGAGCAGACUGUCUGGGACAAUUCGUGAUGGAAGACUUUGAUAUCCCAGAAGGGGAAAACACGUUGAAUGACUUGGCUAGAGGACCGAGUCACAAAGAGGAGACAGAGGCUCCUGGAGUGGGAGAAGGGCUGCAGAUGGCAAAAGAGACAGUGUGGCGGAGUACAACCACAGGAAGAGGUGGUAGCCUGGCUAAGUUAACUCAGAACUGCCAGGAGAUGGUGUUGUCCUAAUGGGUUUGACUGGAAAUGGAGUCAUGACCAGGAAUGAGUGUGUAGGCAGAACAGACAGAAAUGGAGAGAGACUGAGAGGCAGCCAGACAGCCUGAAGGAGCAGCUGAAACCUUGGAAGAUGUUCUUGGAUCAGGAGUGUAGACUGAAAAGCGUGUUCUUGGCAGAGCCGUAAUUAGGACAUUUUAGCACCUGAGGAUAACACCCACAAGGUAAUUCGCAUUCAAUCUAGCCAGCACAUUGUGAAUGGAUUAUUCAAGUUGAUGGUCCAUUGAAGAACACUUAACUCUCACAAUGGCACAUAGAAGAAACUUGUCCCACCACGAAAAUGUCUUACUGGGGCCACCUUAACCUCCAAGUGGGCAAUGACUUCUCUGGUGAGUCAUCAAAGCCACGUAAGAGCAUGUAACUCGUUCAUGUGACCCUGGACUCCAUCUUGUGCCUAUGAUUUUCCACAAAUUGAGACUCAGAGCUUUGUUUGGGACAGUAAAAUUCCAUCCACAUGGGAGAGGGUAUAAAAGACCCUGGAAACAUCUCCAUUUUGUCUUCAUUUCCUGCUUCAUUUCUCUGGACUGGAUUUCUAACAAGGCCGCUAUACACAAGGACUGAUGACCUCCUAGCUGUCUGGGUAAUUUCCAGAGAGACUUUUGCAAACCAGCAGUU